UCCUAGCCCCGAUAGCAGUGGAAAUCCUUUUGCUUUUUGCUGCCAAAAAGCAAAAGAUUGCAACGAAUAGCGGGACGAGUG
rnacentral:sRNA from 1 species